rnacentral:rRNA from 1 species
CCUACGUGAGGCAGCAGUGGGGAAUAUUGCGCAAUGGGCGAAAGCCUGACGCAGCGACGCCGCGUGAGGGAUGAAGGUCUUCGGAUCGUAAACCUCUGUCAGCAGGGAAGAACGGUCACUGUGCUAAUCAGCAGUGAAUUGACGGUACCUGCAAAGGAAGCACCGGCUAACUCCGUGCCAGCAGCCGCGGUAAUACGGAGGGUGCGAGCGUUAAUCGGAAUUACUGGGCGUAAAGCGCUCGUAGGCGGUAUGUCAAGUCAAGGGUGAAAUCCCCGCGCUCAACGUGGGAACUGCCUUUGAAAAUCGCAAACUGGAGUGUGUGAGAGGAUAGUGGAAUUCCAGGUGUAGGAGUGAAAUCCGGAGAUAUCUGGAGGAACAUCAGUGGCGAAGGCGACUAUCUGGCACAUAACUGACGCUGAGGAGCGAAAGCGUGGGUAGCAAACAGGAUUAGAUACCCGGGUAGUC